UGAGAACGUGUCGCAAUUGAGUUUAAUGUGCAUUAUUUUAAGUUACUUCUAGUAUUUUGGGCGUUUGAAAUAUUUUUUUUAUUUAUAACACAAGAGGAUGAUCCGACAAGGCUCUAGGGAAGACAUGUUUUACGUUUUUACCAGAAUCAAGGAUGUAAUUUUGCAGAUUCCAUAACAAUAAAGCACAUAUAUUAUAAUGAAAAUGACACACAUUAAUGUCGUCCUGAUACAACGUCGAUUAACUUAGAGAUGAAGAUUGAAUUCAGUUAUCUAUUAGCUAUAAUGAAGUUUUGUGUAGCUUGGGAGCGAAAAGGAUCCGUAGCAAUUUUCAAGUCGACUCCUCAUUAGAAACGUACUUAUUUAUAUGAAGCUUAUAAUAUUUGGACAAAUCGUGCUUAAGUGAUG